UCAAAGUGAACACGGCUCAAUUGUAUGAGAAAGGGGGCACCUGACCCACCCAAAGAGUUAUAUGUGUUUUAGUAGAAACUUCUAAACACAAACAUCAUCUGCAUAGUUUGCACUCCAUAGUACUAACAAGAUUGACUUGUUGAAGGCUGGAGCAGAGCACCUGAAUCUGGCUUAGAAUGCACGUUCCCUCUGAGCACUGGUGGGCUAAUCCUUCCACAAGUGCAAUCACCUGAACAUAUAUUUGUUCAUGCUAUUAAAGAUAUAAAAUAAGAACACAACUGGCAAGGAUUCGAGAGCUAUAAAACCUUCUUUUUGCCAACAUACAUUACUUGAAAGGAAAGCAAUGGCGCUUCGGUUAUCAAGAAUGAGACGAGGAAGCGAGUAAAAAAGAAGAACAUAACCUAUCACAAAUUUAAAAAUAAUACUACAUGUUCUUUAGUGGAAACCAUUUGCACAAUGUUGGCAAAUGACUAUGAGCAAUAACAUUGAUAUGUAAAUAUCGUAUAAUUCAGCCCAACUAAAAGGCACUGUCUUGUAGAAGUAUAUAUUGUCCAAUUAUUGGAUUAUAUGUGAUAUUGAUGGAACCACAAAUGACAGGUUGUGUGUGUGAAAUGGUCAAAAUUCAGAUUGUAUGACCAAGCAAUCUUUUUAGUACCGGUUUCUGAGCCUUAAAGAUGACACUAAUGCAGAGUACUUACUAAAGAAUUUAAAUAUUGUUGGAAGUUUGAUAUUCGGAAUUUAUACCUGUAAAAUACAGAACUACAUCAACAGGGUUAGACAUCAACAAGGAACCAAUAUAGAAUUCAGCUCCUCCAAUUUCCUAGACGAACGUAUAUGGAAUACAAGAGAGUAGUUAUAACUGCAUAACCAUGGAGUUAAGGAAAUGAUACAAAGAUUGCUAGAAACAAACUACGGAUCCCUGAAUAUCAUAAGGUAAGCAAUUUAGCUCCUCUAGCAUUAUAUCCAUCACUGUGAUAGCUCUCACCUUAUUGUUGUUGGCCCUAGCUAGGAAUGCCGUUCACGCUUACUCAAACCAGAAAGCUGAUUUCUUCAAAAAAACUAAUUUGCAGGCAGUUGAGUGUGUGUUUCAAGGAGCCUUUAUUCCUGCGUGUGUACUGUAUGAGCACCCAAGUGCAUGUUAUUAUUGUUACAUGGUUCUCGUACCUGCAGAUGCUAAUGGGGCCCACUCAUUACAAUUGGUCAUGGGAACCUUACGAACUGACAACAUGCUAUUAAAUUAGUUAGAAGUCAUUUGCGACCAAUGCUAUGAGAUAAACUGAUCAAAAUAAGACAGAGCAAUAGCUGAUUAACAGUACUUGCAUACUGGAAGUGGCGAGAAGUAAAACAUAUCUUGGAAUAGGAAAUGAGACUGGAAGUUAGGUAACAAAUAAGAAAACAACUUACAUGCUAUCGGCACAUGUCAUGCUCUGUAUUAUCUCAUUUCACU
rnacentral:lncRNA from 1 species